GCUUUUGCAGCUGCGGAGACAGUGGAACCACGAUUGAGAUGGGGAGGCGGGUACUGGAAGCAGCAAGUCAUCCCGGUUCCCGGCUCCGCAUUCCUAUCAAACCUGCGGCUGUAUUCCUGGCCCCGCCCUUGAUUAAGGGAACAUGGGUUCGAGCCCUGGUCCGGGAACAUCCCACAUGCCACAGAGCAACUAAGCCCGUGCGCCACAACUACUGAGCCUGCGCUCUACAGCCCGUGAGCCACAACUACUGAUGCCCUCUCGCCUAGAGCUCGUGCUCCGCAACAAGAGGAGCCACCGCAAUGAGAAGCCCGCGCACCGCAGGGAAGAGUAGCCCCUGCUCGCCGCAACUAGAGAAAGCCUGCGCAUAGCAACGAAGACCCAACGCAGCCCAAAAUAAAUAAAUACAUAAGUUUAUUAAAAAAAAGAAAAGUGAGUUUGCCACACCCCCAUCUCACUCCCAUAGUGAACCAUUGACAGCAUUUGGGUAGAUUUUUUCCUUUCUUUAUGAUGUUUUAAAAUUCCAUAUAU